rnacentral:rRNA from 1 species
CCUACGGGAGGCAGCAGUGGGGGAUAUUGCACAAUGGGGGAAACCCUGAUGCAGCGACGCCGCGUGAGUGAAGAAGUAUUUCGGUAUGUAAAGCUCUAUCAGCAGGGAAGAAAAUGACAGUACCUGACCAAGAAGCCCCGGCUAACUACGUGCCAGCAGCCGCGGUAAUACGUAGGGGGCAAGCGUUAUCCGGAUUUACUGGGUGUAAAGGGAGCGUAGACGGUUUUGUAAGUCUGGAGUGAAAGCCCGAGGCCCAACCCCGGGACUGCUUUGGAAACUGUGCAGCUGGAGUACAGGAGGGGUAGGCGGAAUUCCUGGUGUAGCGGUGAAAUGCGUAGAGAUCAGGAGGAACACCGGCGGCGAAGGCGGCCUACUGGACUGAAACUGACGUUGAGGCUCGAAAGCGUGGGGAGCAAACAGGAUUAGAUACCCUAGUAGUC